CAGUCCCACACUUCCCAUUGAAAUACUACUAAGUUUAUGUUGGUAAAAAUUGUUCUUCAUUUUAAAUAUUGUAUUGUUCUUUCAUGGGGUUUUUUGGCACUACAAAUAAGAUAUGUGCAGUGUGCAUAGGAAAUGUUUCAUUUUUUCUUUCAAACCAUAGUUUGGCUCCUCAACAAUCUGAAGGACCAUGAAAUGGCCCUUGGCUUAAAGAUUUUUAGGGUCCUUGAAAUAGGAUGUGCCAUGUUAGAAAAUAAGGAGCUUGUGUUCUGUCUAUUGAAGGGUCAGGCAGGUUUGCCAUGAAAGCAAGGAAAGCAUCAAAGCAUCCCUACAAUCAGCACAUAAAAGGAUCCUGUGGCACCUAAGUCAACUUCUUCAGAGUCGUGAAACUAGAAAGGCUCAAGCGGAGAAACUUCUGAGAACUGCCCCUCUGCACUGAUAUCUGCAUUGACAAUAAGCAAGAAAGACAACAGAACAGACCCUUAAAAGCACCAUCUUUGGCACCUGAAGGAGUAUGCUUUGGAAUUGAACAAGACAGCCCACGCUUCAGUGUCAACGGCUUCAGGCUGGCAGUUAACUAAGACCGUCAGCUUUACUUCACUCACACUUUCCAUCUGAAAGGCAUUAUCUGCAGCCUACUUGUCAAGGAGAAACUGGGCAGCAUCAUUAAUGACAGGAAUGCCAUAGUGAUGCAGACACAUUGCACUAUUGAGCUAUGCAGAUGACAUGAUUUGCACACCACUUCCCUGAAAGUGGCAAAUGCCAAACUACCAUCAAUGAAGUGCGGUAGUAUGAUAUAGGUAGAAAUCCUAUAUGAAGUUGUGUGGCAUAUAUCUCUGUAUAUCGAAUUAUAGAUUAAUAUGAUGUCUGACUUUAAAAUAUCAUUUAACCUUUCCCCAACCUUACAGCCACAAGUGCUGUUGGGUUGCUAUUCUCAUUAUUCAGAUUCUCCAUCCAUGUGGCCCUCAAUGAAAAUGAGUUUGACACCCCGAUGCAGAAAAUGGACACACCUAGUUUACUGCUGCUCCUGAACAUUAUCUAAUGGCUUCAUAUUAGAAGAAAGCGGAUUCUAUCUAAACAUUAGGGAGAACAUCUUUUACCAUAAGGCUACAAUGAUAGUAGAAUAGAUUGCCUCUGAAGGUAGUAGACUCUCAAUCUUUGGGUUUUUUUAAAAAAAAGAGACUGGAUGGCAUAUUUCAGCACUACUUUGCUUGAGUAUUUCUGCACUACAAAGGGUUGGGCCAAAUGGCCCUUGUGGUCUAAGAUAAGGCAUUGGUACAUGUCAAUAUUUUCCAAAGAACAGUCACAAAAUAUUCUGGUGGCCCAGAAUCUCUCCUAAGGUCUCUUUAAAUGCUGUGCUCUUACCUAGGUUGAUUUUCCUGGGUGACAUUCUCCCCCUUCUGGUAGCCACUGUCAGCCACUUGAGUAGUAGACCUCUUAACUAUCUGCUUUAGUUCUUGCUCCAGACGAUCCUGGAUGGCCUUCACUGUCUCUGGGAUCUUCUUCAGCUUGGCCAAGCCUUUGAUGAGGAUGCCCAUGAAGAUCAAGCUGUUCUCUUCAGGAUCCAGGUCCAAAUCGUCUUUAAUUUCAAUCAAACUGGCAUCUCUCCCUGGGACAUUGGGGGAAGGGAGGGGGAAGAACCACCACAAAAAUCAAUAAAUAAAUACUUUCACUGUGUUGGAAAUUUGAGAUUUCAGAGAAUUUGAGGGCAGGUUAUAUCUGUCUGACUGCUGUUCUCUCUCUCUCUCUCUCUCUCUCUCUCUCUCUCUCUCUCUCUUUAAUACCAGAUCCUUCAAACAAUAAACAAUUUGCCUUUGGUAA